AAUUGAAGAGUUUGAUCAUGGCUCAGAUUGAACGCUGGCGGCAGGCCUAACACAUGCAAGUCGAGCGGUAGCACAGAGAGCUUGCUCUCGGGUGACGAGCGGCGGACGGGUGAGUAAUGUCUGGGAAACUGCCUGAUGGAGGGGGAUAACUACUGGAAACGGUAGCUAAUACCGCAUAAUGUCGCAAGACCAAAGUGGGGGACCUUCGGGCCUCAUGCCAUCAGAUGUGCCCAGAUGGGAUUAGCUUGUAGGUGGGGUAACGGCUCACCUAGGCGACGAUCCCUAGCUGGUCUGAGAGGAUGACCAGCCACACUGGAACUGAGACACGGUCCAGACUCCUACGGGAGGCAGCAGUGGGGAAUAUUGCACAAUGGGCGCAAGCCUGAUGCAGCCAUGCCGCGUGUGUGAAGAAGGCCUUCGGGUUGUAAAGCACUUUCAGCGGGGAGGAAGGCGGUGAGGUUAAUAACCUCAUCGAUUGACGUUACCCGCAGAAGAAGCACCGGCUAACUCCGUGCCAGCAGCCGCGGUAAUACGGAGGGUGCAAGCGUUAAUCGGAAUUACUGGGCGUAAAGCGCACGCAGGCGGUCUGUCAAGUCGGAUGUGAAAUCCCCGGGCUCAACCUGGGAACUGCAUUCGAAACUGGCAGGCUAGAGUCUUGUAGAGGGGGGUAGAAUUCCAGGUGUAGCGGUGAAAUGCGUAGAGAUCUGGAGGAAUACCGGUGGCGAAGGCGGCCCCCUGGACAAAGACUGACGCUCAGGUGCGAAAGCGUGGGGAGCAAACAGGAUUAGAUACCCUGGUAGUCCACGCCGUAAACGAUGUCGAUUUGGAGGUUGUGCCCUUGAGGCGUGGCUUCCGGAGCUAACGCGUUAAAUCGACCGCCUGGGGAGUACGGCCGCAAGGUUAAAACUCAAAUGAAUUGACGGGGGCCCGCACAAGCGGUGGAGCAUGUGGUUUAAUUCGAUGCAACGCGAAGAACCUUACCUGGUCUUGACAUCCACAGAACUUUCCAGAGAUGGAUUGGUGCCUUCGGGAACUGUGAGACAGGUGCUGCAUGGCUGUCGUCAGCUCGUGUUGUGAAAUGUUGGGUUAAGUCCCGCAACGAGCGCAACCCUUAUCCUUUGUUGCCAGCGGUCCGGCCGGGAACUCAAAGGAGACUGCCAGUGAUAAACUGGAGGAAGGUGGGGAUGACGUCAAGUCAUCAUGGCCCUUACGACCAGGGCUACACACGUGCUACAAUGGCAUAUACAAAGAGAAGCGACCUCGCGAGAGCAAGCGGACCUCAUAAAGUAUGUCGUAGUCCGGAUUGGAGUCUGCAACUCGACUCCAUGAAGUCGGAAUCGCUAGUAAUCGUAGAUCAGAAUGCUACGGUGAAUACGUUCCCGGGCCUUGUACACACCGCCCGUCACACCAUGGGAGUGGGUUGCAAAAGAAGUAGGUAGCUUAACCUUCGGGAGGGCGCUUACCACUUUGUGAUUCAUGACUGGGGUGAAGUCGUAACAAGGUAACCGUAGGGGAACCUGCGGUUGGAUCACCUCCUUA
rnacentral:rRNA from 4 species